CCAGGAAGACACAAGCUUUGUUUCCAGAGGAUGCAUCAAGUACAGCUAAGAGUGGAAGUAUGUGACUGGGAUGCCUCAUCCACUCACAGCUGCUGACAAAGGCAGAGAGUCCCAGACCCAGCCUCCAGGCAGCAGCUUCACCUUCCUGCCUGAACAGUCCUUUGCUCUGAGGAUGAGAAAAAAGUUUGUGAUCAGGAAGCUUGCAACAUUCAGAGACUCCUCACCGCAGCUACCCUACAAAGAGAGGAAGGACCCUUUAGGCUUUCAGGAGAGUUAAUUGCUUACCUUGACCUCCAACACAGAUCUACACUGAUAAAGUUUAUUGACUUCCUACACUUCACCUUUUAUUAAUUGCCCCAUCUGCUUGCGCGAGUCAGUUUGCUCAUCACCAUGUUUCUACUUGCAAUUGAGUUUCUGUUGCAGGAUAGCUGAGACAGUAGUUACUGACUUAGCAGCUACCAACCUCUGCAGCAUAAUGUCGCUGCAUGACUCAGAGCAGGUGAGUAGUAAGUCCAGCAAUAGAGUUCAGUCCCUUCUCAGCACUUGUGUGUAUCACACUGCUGCUGUAACUACACACAGCACCCAGUUGGAUUCCCUGGCAGCAUCUAGGGAAGGGUACAAUGCCAGGAACUGAACCUUUGGGAGGGUCUAAACCUGCCCUGCUAAGAUGCUUGUAAACUGAAGGGUGUUUCUUUACAACUCCCAUGCCCCAGGGGACUGCGGCAACCAGGCGGGAGGUCAGACGUCUGUGGAGCUGCACCUGGGAACGGAGGACAUCUUCCAGGAGUGCGGUGGAGGAAACAGCCACUCAACUAGCAAAGAAAACUCUUCAUACAGGAGGAAGCAAGAAAAGAUUAUGCACAGCGUGCUGUGAAAUGCCUGCAAGACACACACAGGGAAUAUAAACAAUUUCCUCCUAAUGUUUUCCAGCAACAAGGAUCUUAGGGAUUACUUGUAACAACAGCAGCUUUAAAAAACAAAGACUAAACAAAACCAGGAAAAAGUAUGGUUUUAAGACAACUAUCCUUUUUAAGAGGAGGAAGGGUUUGUUUUGGUUUUUUUCUCUUUUUUAAGAGAGAUUAUCAGGCCUUAAGUGCAGGUUAUAUAUCUGUUCUCUUCAUGACUUCUGUCUACAGGAGUUAACGGGGUCAAGUGUCUGUAUGUGACAGUUUUGAUGCAUGGGGAAACAAUAAGCAAAUUUAUGAUGGUGGGCUAUAAUGAUUACAGGCACUGUAGACGUGCAAACAUGUUAAUUUUGGAUUCAUGAGUUGUUUUGUUGCCGAGGGAUUCCAUCAAGGGUCUCGGUAACAACUAUGAGGUGUUUGUCGUAUGUAGCUUCUCCAGUAUUUGGUAAUCCUAGUCUUUAACUUGACAGUGGUGGUGGUUACAGCUCUCAAAGCUUUGCAGAUAUCAGCUCCAAGCAGCCAUGUGUGCAUGGUACCACUGCAAUUGCUACCGAGACGUUUGGACCUGGACCACUGUAAAGCCUGAACACAGGUCCCUUUACUCUCAUUUACACUCAGCCAUGCCUAGGAAGAAGCUCUGAAGCUGCCCUAGCAGCAUAAAGCAUUCAACAGCUUUUGACACGCGAAAAAUCAUCAGCUGAAGCGAGGUAACGUAAAGCUGCAAAGAGGGACAGGCCGCAGGAGCUUGCACUCGGAUUUACCCAGGACGCUUGCCCUAAGUUUCUGUCUCCCAUGAAACAGUUCAUGUUUUUUCACCUGAAAGGAAUGACUUCCUCUGGCAACACCUCUCUUUGUGCUGUCCUGACCCCAAAUGGCCUCUGAGCCCCAGAAACGCUCCGGGACAGGGAGGGACGUUUCAGGGCCACUUACUGAAACGCGGAGCACCACCAAGCCCACGUACCUGGGGAAUGCAGGCAGGCCUCGGCGCAUUGGUGUUAAUGGCGCAGGCCCAGAUCCCCGCCGUCGUAGGUGACAUCAUAAAGUGCCGGUUCUUCUGCUGAGCUCAAAAUGCCGGGUCAAGAUGGCAGUGCUGGCUCGAGAGCUUUUCUCCUCCCUCUUCCCCUCGCCCCCUCAUGUAGACAGACGACACUGUCUCUUCUUUUCUUCCAGGUGCUUCAUAGCCCUAGUCCGCGGCGGGAGGUGGGAAAUAGAGCAAGAAUAAAGUUUCAUAAAUUCCUUUGCACAAAUAAAACAGAAGGACCUGAUGAUAGGGCAGAAGGGGAAGGGAAAAGCACUGAAUUUUUAGGAAUUAAAUCUGGUGCCAGCCCACAAAGGAGAAAAAUCCCACUGCCUCCCAGGGCACAGUACACUGUGUUAGCAACUGCAGAGACACACUUAUGGGCUUUGCUCUCCAGGGAGCUUUGUGAACAUUUAGUUGCAUUUGUAGGAGUGCAGAGUAUUUUAUAUAGCGGGCUAUUCUUUUGGGGAUGCAGGUGACUGUUGCGAUGCAGAUCCUUAUCCUUAUUCUAAAACCAGCAUUGGUAAAUGAUAACCGGAAAAAUAUCUGAAUGUCCUCUCUGCUUCUGGAGCUGCAGUUAGGAGCAGUUCAGAUGUCCAGUAACAGCUGCAAAUGAUGAUAAAUGGGUGAUGUGAAGCUCUGCAUUAUCAUUCAAGCUGAAUGCCCAGUGUAUUUUCUGUAACACACAUGUUGCUCUAUAAUGGAAGAGGUUUCUGAGAAAGACACAUUUUUACCACUUCUGGACACAAAGGAAUAACAAACUAUAAAAAUACCAAUUUUAGUACUGAGCGUUUACAUGUAAGUGUAUAUCUUUCAGAACCUGUGAGUACACUUGACUCGCCACAAUAUUGCAAGUUGCAUUUGCAUGGCAAACCUCAAACCUGGCAAACAAUAUCAUCUAAAUAUCAGUGUGUUACUCUAGGCCUAAUUGCCAUCUCCUAGGUGUGUGUAUUUACCUGCUGCAAUAUGAUUGUCAAAUUGUGAUAAAAUGCAACUACAUGUGAAAUAGGGGCAUUCUGGAGGGAUGAUUUUGGCAUUCCCCACUGAGAAGAAUUAUUGUGGGGUUUUUGGAGAUUUUUUCUCUUGACUCUUUCUGCUUCAAGUCUUCUUCAGAGGAAAGGAUCCUUCUGAGCUGUUAGACAUACCAAAUCACCAGUAUGACUGGAUAGGACUGACAAGAGUUUUCCCUGUAUUACCUUAUUUGAUAAUCUAUGUUUUGUGUUUAAUGUAAUGUUUGUAUGCUUAUCAUAAUAAAACAUUACAUUUAA